rnacentral:rRNA from 1 species
ACGUACACUCCUACGGGAGGCAGCAGUGGGGAAUAUUGCACAAUGGGCGCAAGCCUGAUGCAGCCAUGCCGCGUGUAUGAAGAAGGCCUUCGGGUUGUAAAGUACUUUCAGCGGGGAGGAAGGCAAUACGGUUAAUAACCGUGUUGAUUGACGUUACCCGCAGAAGAAGCACCGGCUAACUCCGUGCCAGCAGCCGCGGUAAUACGGAGGGUGCAAGCGUUAAUCGGAAUUACUGGGCGUAAAGCGCACGCAGGCGGUCUGUCAAGUCGGAUGUGAAAUCCCCGGGCUCAACCUGGGAACUGCAUUCGAAACUGGCAGGCUUGAGUCUUGUAGAGGGGGGUAGAAUUCCAGGUGUAGCGGUGAAAUGCGUAGAGAUCUGGAGGAAUACCGGUGGCGAAGGCGGCCCCCUGGACAAAGACUGACGCUCAGGUGCGAAAGCGUGGGGAGCAAACAGGAUUAGAUACCCCGGUAGUCCC